rnacentral:rRNA from 1 species
CUGGCGGCGUGCCUAACACAUGCAAGUCGAGCGGGGACAUGCGACGGAACCGGAAGUUUUCGGAUGGAAGGCGAAGAUGUAUGUUCUAGCGGCGGACGGGUGAGUAACGCGUGAGCAACCUGUCCUUCACAGGGGGAUAACACAGCGAAAGUUGUACUAAUACCGCAUAAGACCACACCGGGACAUCCCGGAGGGGUCAAAGGAGCAAUCCGGUGAAGGGUGGGCUCGCGUCCGAUUAGAUAGUUGGUGAGGUAACGGCCCACCAAGUCGACGAUCGGUAGCCGACCUGAGAGGGUGAUCGGCCACAUUGGGACUGAGACACGGCCCAAACUCCUACGGGAGGCAGCAGUGGGGAAUAUUGGGCAAUGGGGGAAACCCUGACCCAGCAACGCCGCGUGAGGGAAGAAGGUUUUCGGAUCGUAAACCUCUGUCCUUGGUGAAGAGAGAGAGACGGUAGCCAAGGAGGAAGCCCCGGCUAACUACGUGCC